AUAAAAUUAGAAACGCAAAUGUUAAGCCCGCGCUCUCGGGUAUUUAUGCGUGAUGUCGGCAGCACCAGCAGCUUACUGCACAGUCAGCCAAUGAGGUGAUUGAGAUUGUCUGAGGGAUAACAGGCUGGCCCUCAAACAUACUUUCCUACAGACAAGAAGAGGAGUCUGAGCUGUGAACAUCACUUUUGGCUUCAGCUUCCAGAAGAGGAAUACCAUCUAAAUCUCUGCCACACAAAGAAAUAUUAAUUUAGCAGGAUGAAAAUCACGUUGGAAAUGCACAAACUUUCCACAGUGGCCCUCUGUGUGCUGCUCCUGGCCACACUGUUACCCGGCUCCGAGGCCCGACGUGGACGUGGUGGUGGUGGUGGUGUGUUCAGCCGAGGAGCAGGAGGAGGCUACAGCCGGGGUGGGGAGGUCAGCCUUACAGACCACCGCCUGUCCAGAGCAGUGGCCCCAGUGCCGGGAAAGUAGCUGGGGCAGCUGCUGCAGGAGCAAUAGGAGGAGCCGUGCUCGGAUCUGCCUUGAGCCGUCCUGGGUAUGGGUACGGGUAUGGCGGAGGAUUUGGAGGAUACGGUGGAUAUGGGGGAUAUGGAGGGUAUGGAGGAGGUUAUGGAUACCCACGAUACGGAGGUGGUUACGGCUAUGGCCCCCGCCCUGGCUAUGAGCCAGAGGGCUCUGGUGAUGUGGAGUACUACACCGGAGCAUCCAGUGGCCCAAUCUACAACAGCAUCAUUGUUGUCAUUGGCUCCCUAAUGUCCCUGCUCAUGGGCCACUGGGUAUCAUUCAUGUAGCACUGGAGACGAAGCUGAGAUUUACAAACACACCAGAAAAAACCCUCCUUUCAAAAAUAACCCAUCCUACUGUAAAGGGGACAUUUUAAAGUCACAAUUCAACUGAAAUUUGAGUUUUCAGAAAUACAAACCUGUUGCCAAUUUGUUUUGUGGACACUUCAGUGACCCUCUGUGAGGACAAUAAGACGAGUUUGACUUAUUAAUGUGACGCCAUUACACUGAAUAUGAAAACACACGGUCAAAAAUCAUUAUUAAAGUCACGAAAUGUAAUCUGAUUUGAUGUGAUGUUGCUAUCCUGUCCCAUUUUUGACUUCUCUUAAUGUGGCCACUGUUUUUAUACAUUUGCUGAUGGCAGUGAUGAUGAUGACUACAGUCUGUAAAGAUAGAGCAGGAAUUAAUUAGAUCUGUUUUAAGUUAAGUCUACCUCAAGGAACCAUGUCAGGAUUAGAUGUUAAUGUCAUUUUGUAAUUACCAAAUUUAAAUAUUUUUUUUCAUUGUUACAUAAUUUUGUCUAUGCUGUAUAUCGUAUAUAGGUUAUAUUUUUAAGUAUUGCUUUCAUUGACAUAUUUCCAUAAUUAAAUUAAAUGUUUUAUGAUCAUUUGUAGAUUUUAUUAAAGGCUGUUCUUUAAUAUUUAAUACUGUUAUGAAUGUAAAAUAAAUGUGUGAUAAAGCUCCAUGUUGACAUUUA